rnacentral:rRNA from 1 species
GACGAACGCUGGCGGCGUGCUUAACACAUGCAAGUCGAACGGUGAACCUCUUCGGUGGGGAUCAGUGGCGUACGGGUGGGUAGCACGUGGGCAACUUGCUCCCGGCUCUGGGAUAACUCCAAGAAAUUGGGGCUAAUAACGGAUGUUCACCGCUUCCCGCAUGGGUGGUGGUGGAAAGGGUUUCCGGCUGGGGGUGGGCACGUGGCGUAGCAGCUUGUUGGUGGGGUAGUGGCCUACCAAGGCGACGACGGAGAGCCGGCCCGGGAGGGUGACCGGCGUCAAGACGACUGAGAGACGCACCAGACGGCAACGGGAGGCAGCAGGGGGGAACAUUGCGCAGUGAGCGGGAGCCUGACGCGACGACCCCGCGUGGGGGAUGCCGGCCUUCGGGGGAAAAACCUCUUUCAGCGGGGACAAAGCGCAAGUGACGGUACCUACAGAAGAAGCACCGGCCAACUACGUG